rnacentral:misc_RNA from 1 species
UACGAAGGUGGCAAGCGUUACUCGGAAUGACUAGGCGUAAAGGGCAGGUAGGCGGUUCGGCAAGUCUGUUGUGAAAGCUCCCGGCUUAACUGGGAGAGGCCAACAGAUACUGUCGGGCUUGAGUGCAGGAGAGGUUACUGGAAUUCCCGGUGUAGCGGUGAAAUGCGCAGAUAUCGGGAGGAACACCAAUGGCGAAAGCAAGUAACUGGACUGCUACUGACGCUCAGCUGCGAAAGCUAGGGGAGCAAACAGG